rnacentral:snoRNA from 1 species
GAGGACCUACUUGUGAGGUCUUAUGAUUUCAUUUAGUUUUUCACUGUAUUAAAAAAUCUCUUUCUGUCUGCCACAGGAACAUCCCAGGGCGCUGUGACCACAUUGACCCGUCAAGGGCAAGGCAGCCACGCGGGUACAUGGUG